CAGGAUUCCCCUAGUAGCGGCGAGCGAACAGGGAGGAGCCCAGCGCCGAAUCCCGCGUCCGAUACCGGGCGCAGGGAGAUGUGGUGUUAGGGAGGGUCCGCUAUCCCGUAGUCGCGCGGUGCGUCCAAGUCCUUCUUGAACGGGGCCAUUCACCCACAGAGGGUGCCAGGCCCGUAGUGACCACCGCGGGCCGCGGGAGGGCCUCUCCUCAGAGUCGGGUUGCUUGAGAGUGCAGCCCUAAGUGGGUGGUAAACUCCAUCUAAGGCUAAAUAUGAUCACGAGACCGAUAGCGAACAAGUACCGUGAGGGAAAGUUGAAAAGAACUUUGAAGAGAGAGUUCAAUAGUACGUGAAACCGUUCAGGGGUAAACCUGAGAAACCCGAAAGGUCGAAGGGGAAGAUUCAACCGCGUCUCGCAGAGGCGCUGCGUCGCGGUCGCGCGACGGGGGCGAUCGUUCUCGGUCGUUCCCGCGUCGGCUGCACGUGACGCGCCCGCGAACGCGUGCACUUCUUCCCUUGUAGGACGUCGCGACCCGUUGGGUGCCGGUCUAAGGCCCGCGGAGGAGACCGUACGGGACGAUUCUUUCGUUCCGGACGGACCCGCGGUGUCCCGGCCGGCUCGCUCGACGGUAGAACUGAGGCGCGGGGCCGCGACAUGUUCGCGUCCGGUCCGUCGCAAGCGCGGACGGUAUAUAACCCGAACGUCGGACCUAGUGCCGACGCCGGGUCCGUUUGGCUGCUGGCGACGGUGUCCUCGGACAGACCCCGUCGGGGAGCCCGCCGGUCGGCGACGCUAUAGCUUUGGGUACUUUCAGGACCCGUCUUGAAACACGGACCAAGGAGUCUAGCAUGCGCGCGAGUCGUUGGGAACUCGUUAACUAAACCUAAAGGCGCAAUGAAAGUGAAGGUCAGCCUUCGCGCUGACCGAGGGAGGACGCGUCGGCCUUGUUGCCGGCGCCGCACUCCCGGGGCGUCUCGUUCUCAUUGCGAGAAGAGGCGCACCCAGAGCGUGCACGCUGGGACCCGAAAGAUGGUGAACUAUGCCUGGUCAGGACGAAGUCAGGGGAAACCCUGAUGGAGGUCCGUAGCGAUUCUGACGUGCAAAUCGAUCGUCGGAACUGGGUAUAGGGGCGAAAGACUAAUCGAACCAUCUAGUAGCUGGUUCCCUCCGAAGUUUCCCUCAGGAUAGCUGGCGCUCGCUUUUGCGAGUCUCAUCCGGUAAAGCGAAUGAUUAGAGGCAUUGGGGUCGAAACGGCCUCAACCUAUUCUCAAACUUUAAAUGGGUGAGAUCUCCGGCUUGCUUGAGAGCUGAAGCCGCGAGAUUUCGGAUCAGAGUGCCAAGUGGGCCAUUUUUG
rnacentral:rRNA from 1 species